rnacentral:rRNA from 1 species
UACGUAGGGGGCAAGCGUUGUCCGGAAUUAUUGGGCGUAAAGAGCGCGUAGGCGGUCCGGUAAGUCGGCUGUGAAAGUCAAGGGCUCAACCCUGGAAUGCCGGUGGAAACUGUCGGGCUAGAGUCCGGAAGAGGCGAGUGGAAUUCCUGGUGUAGCGGUGAAAUGCGCAGAUAUCAGGAGGAACACCGAUGGCGAAGGCAGCCCCCUGGGUCAAGACUGACGCUCAUGCACGAAAGCGUGGGGAGCAAACAGG